rnacentral:rRNA from 1 species
UGACGUGGAUGCUAGUCUCAUAGAUUAAGCCAUGCAUGUGUAAGCGACGCGAAGCGGAGCGGCGGACGGCUCAGUAACGGGCGCCACUUUGGUCUGCCGAACCGGACAACCUCGGGAAACAGAGGGGAAAACGGUGUAGCAGCACGCAGCGCCUAUUAAUUAGACGCUGUGUGCCGCGAGAACACGCAUGCGUGUGCGGCAGAGUAAGGAGCCAUCCCAUCAGUUAGUAGGCAGGGUAAGGGCCUGCCUAGACGACGACGGGUACGGGGGAUUAGGGUUUGAUUCCGGAGAGGGAGCCUGAGAGACGGCUACCAGGUCCAAGGACAGCAGCAGGCGCGAAAAUUACCACAGCCCGCAGCGGGGCGGUAGUGAAGAGACGUGCACGCAGGCGUGCCUAGAAGCCACGCGCGUAACUGGAGGUCAAGUCUGGUGCCAGCAUCCGCGGUAAUACCAGCUCCAGGAGUGUCUAUGAUGAUUGCUGCGAUUAAAAGGUCCGUAGUCGGGGGGCAGCACCUGUCUGCAAUGCGGGCGAUCAAGCGCCGAGCAGGACGGGCACAGCCCCGCACAGGAGCGAUCGAGGGCCAGACUAUUGUGCAGCGAGAGGUGAAAUUUGAUGACCUGCGCAGGAGUAGCAGCGGCGAAGGCGCUGGCCAGGAGCGUAUCCGAUGAUCAAGGACGUAGGCUGGAGGAUCGAAGACGAUUAGAGACCGUAGUAGUUCCAGCAGUAAACGAUGCCUACACUGCUGCAGACGCGUCUGCGGCAGACGAGAAAUCGAGUGGGGCUACGGGGAGAGUACGCGCGCAAGCGCCAAAUUUAAAGGAAAUUGACGGAAGAACACCACAAGGAGUGGAGUGUGCGGCUUAAUUUGACUCAACGCGGGACAACUUACCACGCCCGAUGGCCGUGUGAGCGCGUGCGCGAUAGGCCAGCGAGUGGUGCAUGGCCGUUAUCGACUAGUGGGGUGACCUCUGGGUUAAGUCCGCAAAGUAGUGAGAUCCCGGGGCCCGCUCAUUUUAUUUGAUGGGCGGCGUCGACAGGCGCGAGAAGCGCCGGAAGGACGGGGCAAGAACAGGUCAGUGAUGCCCUUAGAUGGCGUGGGCUGCACGCGCACUACAGUGGUCGCAGCAGGAGCUUUCAGAGUGAAAUGCGAUCGAGAGGGAAUGCGCGCUGUAAGGUGCACAGGAACGAGGAAUUGCUAGUAGCCGCUGCCUCACCAAGGAGCGGCGAAUGUGUCCCUGUUCUUUGUACACACCGCCCGUCGUUAUCGAAGAUGGCGCCAGGCGCGAACAAGCGCAAGCGCGUGAGUGCAGGGCGCUAGAUCUGAUAC